CCUACGGGUGGCAGCAGUGGGGAAUAUUGCACAAUGGGGGAAACCCUGAUGCAGCGACGCCGCGUGAGUGAAGAAGUAUUUCGGUACGUAAAGCUCUAUCAGCAGGGAAGAAAAUGACGGUACCUGACUAAGAAGCCCCGGCUAACUACGUGCCAGCAGCCGCGGUAAUACGUAGGGGGCAAGCGUUAUCCGGAUUUACUGGGUGUAAAGGGAGCGUAGACGGCAGCGCAAGUCUGGAGUGAAAUCCCAUGGCUUAACCAUGGAACUGCGUUGGAAACUGUGCAGCUAGAGUGCAGGAGAGGUAAGCGGAAUUCCUAGUGUAGCGGUGAAAUGCGUAGAUAUUAGGAGGAACACCAGUGGCGAAGGCGGCUUACUGGACUGUAACUGACGCUGAGGCUCGAAAGCGUGGGGAGCAAACAGGAUUAGAUACCCGAGUAGUC
rnacentral:rRNA from 1 species